UACAGAGGUCCCAAGCGUUGUUCGGAUUCACUGGGCGUAAAGGGUGCGUAGGCGGCCAAUUAAGUAGGGUGUGAAAGGUUACGGCUCAACCGUGACAUUGCGCUCUAGACUGCUUGGCUCGAGUGAGAUAGGGGUGUGCGGAACUUCCAGUGGAGCGGUGAAAUGUGUUGAUAUUGGAAGGAACGCCGGUGGAGAAAGCGGCACACUGGGUCUUAACUGACGCUGAGGCACGAAAGCCAGGGGAGCGAACGGG
rnacentral:rRNA from 1 species